GACGAACGCUGGCGGCGUGCUUAACACAUGCAAGUCGAACGGAAAGGCCCUGCUUUUGUGGGGUGCUCGAGUGGCGAACGGGUGAGUAACACGUGAGUAACCUGCCCUUGACCUUGGGAUAACUUCCGGAAACUGGGGCUAAUACCGGAUAGGAGCUCCUGCUGCAUGGUGGGGGUUGGAAAGUUUCGGCGGUUGGGGAUGGACUCGCGGCUUACCAGCUUGUUGGUGGGGUAGUGGCUUACCAAGGCUUUGACGGGAAGCCGGCCUGGGAGGGUGACCGGCCACAUUGGGACUGAGAUACGGCCCAGACUCCUACGGGAGGCAGCAGUGGGGAAUAUUGCACAAUGGGCGGAAGCCUGAUGCAGCAACGCCGCGUGCGGGAUGACGGCCUUCGGGUUGUAAACCGCUUUCGCCUGUGACGAAGCGUGAGUGACGGUAAUGGGUAAAGAAGCACCGGCUAACUACGUG
rnacentral:rRNA from 1 species